rnacentral:rRNA from 1 species
GGACGAACGCUGGCGGCGUGCCUAAUACAUGCAAGUCGAGCGGAUUUAUUCCUUCGGGGAUAGGUUAGCGGCGGACGGGUGAGUAACACGUAGGCAACCUGCCUGUAAGACUGGGAUAACUACCGGAACGGUAGCUAAGACCGGAUAACUGGUUUCUCUGCAUGGAGAGAUCAUGAAACACGGUGCAAGCUGUGACUUACAGAUGGGCCUGCGGCGCAUUAGCUAGUUGGUGGGGUAACGGCUCACCAAGGCGAGAUGCGUAGCCGACCUGAGAGGGUGAUCGGCCACACUGGGACUGAGACACGGCCCAGACUCCUACGGGAGGCAGCAGUAGGGAAUCUUCCGCAAUGGGCGCAAGCCUGACGGAGCAACGCCGCGUGAUGAUGAAGGUUUUCGGAUCGUAAAGCUCUGUUGCCAAGGAAGAACACUUGGGAGAGUAACUGCUCCUAAGAUGACGGUACUUGAGAAGAAAGCCCCGGCUAACUACGUGCCAGCAGCCGCGGUAAUAGUAGGGGGCAAGCGUUGUCCGGAAUUAUUGGGCGUAAAGCGCGCGCAGGCGGUCUUUUAAGUCUGGUGUUUAAGCCCGGGGCUCAACCCCGGUUCGCAUCGGAAACUGGAAGACUUGAGUGCAGGAGGGAAAGCGGAAUUCCACGUGUAGCGGUGAAAUGCGUAGAGAUGUGGAGGAACACCAGUGGCGAAGGCGGCUUUCUGGACUGUAACUGACGCUGAGGCGCGAAAGCGUGGGGAGCAAACA